AGAGUUUGAUCCUGGCUCAGAACGAACGCUGGCGGCGUGCCUAACACAUGCAAGUCCAACGUGAAAGGGGAGCAAUCCCCCGGUAGGGUGGCAAACGGGUGAGUAAGACAUGGGUGAUCUACCUUAGGGAUGGGGAUAUCCUUCCGAAAGGAGGGGCAAUACCGAAUAUUGUCCGGGACCGUGAAGGGUUCCGGGGAAAGGGAGGCCUCUGAUACAAGCUUUCGCCUUAAGAUGAGCCCAUGGCCCAUCAGCUAGUUGGUAGGGUAAAGGCCUACCAAGGCUACGACGGGUCGCUGGUCUGAGAGGACGACCAGCCACACUGGCACUGAGAUACGGGCCAGACUCCUACGGGAGGCAGCAGUGAGGAAUAUUGCGCAAUGGGGGAAACCCUGACGCAGCAACGCCGCGUGUGGGAAGAAGGCCUUCGGGUCGUAAACCACUUUUACUCGGGACGAAAAAGGGAUAUCAAAUAAAUAUCCCCGAUGACGGUACCGUGAGAAUAAGCCACGGCUAACUCUGUGCCAGCAGCCGCGGUAAGACAGAGGUGGCAAGCGUUGUUCGGAAUUACUGGGCGUAAAGAGUCUGUAGGUGGUUUGUCAAGUCUUUGGUGAAAGGCCGUAGCUUAACUAUGGGAAUGCCAAAGAGACUGGCAGGCUGGAGGCUGGGAGAGGGAAGCGGAAUUUCUGGUGUAGCGGUGAAAUGCGUAGAUAUCAGAAGGAAGGCCGGUGGCGAAGGCGGCUUCCUGGAACAGUCCUGACACUGAGAGACGAAAGCGUGGGGAGCAAACAGGAUUAGAUACCCUGGUAGUC
rnacentral:rRNA from 1 species